UUGAAUUUAAUGAAGAGUUUGGUUGUAGCUGGCCCAUUCAUUUGGGCAUGUGCACACCUUCCUCUUUCAUCCCGCACACACCUGUGAACCUGCGAGACAGAGAUGGGGAAUUUACUUGCUGCUUUUUGGAAUACAAAGGCAAUAGGUUAUUGGACCCCCCCUCUGUCUACUCAAUUAAUAUAAACUCAAUUUAUUUUAAAACGAAUGUAAUGGAUGUAACACAUCUCAUAC
rnacentral:misc_RNA from 1 species